UGGAUAGCUCGGUUGGUUAGAGCGUGGUGCUGAUAUCGCUAAGGUUGCAGGUUCAAUCCCCAUAUGGGACAA